UACGAAGGGGGCUAGCGUUGCUCGGAAUCACUGGGCGUAAAGGGUGCGUAGGCGGGUCUUUAAGUCAGGGGUGAAAUCCUGGAGCUCAACUCCAGAACUGCCUUUGAUACUGAGGAUCUUGAGUCCGGGAGAGGUGAGUGGAACUGCGAGUGUAGAGGUGAAAUUCGUAGAUAUUCGCAAGAACACCAGUGGCGAAGGCGGCUCUCUGGGCAGAUACUGACACUGAGACGCGAAAGCGUGGGUAGCAAACAGG
rnacentral:rRNA from 1 species